rnacentral:rRNA from 1 species
GACGAACGCUGGCGGCGUGCCUAACACAUGCAAGUCGAACGCUGAAGGUCGGUCCUUGUACCAACUGGAUGAGCCGCGAACGGGAGAGUAACGCGCGGGGCCUCUGCUUUUGAGUGGGGGACCACAUUUGGAAAUGAAUGCUAAUACCGUAUAAAAACUUUAAACACAAGUUUUAAGUUUGAAAGCUGACAUUGCAUCACUCAAAGAUGAACUCGCGUUGUAUUAGCUAGUUGGUGAGGUAAAGGCUCACCAAGGCGAUGAUACAUAGCCGACCUGAGGGGGUGGUCGGCCAAAAUGGGACUGGGACACGGCCCAAGCUCCUACAGGGAGGAGCAGUAGGGGAACUUCGGCAAUGGGCGGAAAGCUGGCCGAACAACGCCGCAGGGGUGAAGAAGGUUUUCGGGUCGUAAAACUCUGUUUGUAGGGAAGAAAGUGGGUGAGAGUGGAAAGCUCAGCAAGUGACGGUAACUUCCCAAAAAGCAACGGCUAACUACGUG